rnacentral:rRNA from 1 species
UUCCGGUUGAUCCUGCCGGAGGCUACCGCUAUUGGAGUUCGGUUAAGCCAUGCGAGUCUAGAGGCCUAGCCUCGGCGUACCGCUCAGUAACACGUGGGUAACCUACCCUAUGCUGGGGAAUAAGCUCGGGAAACUGAGAAUAAUACCCCAUAGUCCACUACGCCUGGAACGGUGAGUGAAUCAAAGCUCCGGCGGCAUAGGAUGGGCCUGCGGCGUAUCAGGUUGUAGGGGGUGUAAUGUACCCUCUAGCCAUCCACGCGUACGGGUGUUGGGAGACAUUGCCCGGAGAUGGAUUCUGAGACACGAAUCCAGACCCUACGGGGUGCAGCAGGCGCGAAAACUUGGCAAUGCGAGAAAUCGUGACCAGGGAACUCCAAGUGGCAGGGGUAAGACCCUGUCUUUUUCCGACUCUAAAUAGGUCGGCGAAUAAGGGGUGGGUAAGGACGGUGCCAGCCGCCGCGGUAAUACCGGCGCCUCAAGUGGUAGUCGCUUUUAUUGGGCCUAAAACGUCCGUAGCCGGUCUGGUACAUUCGUGGGUAAAUCAACUCGCUCAACGAGUUGAAUUCUGCGAGGACGGCCAGACUUGGGACCGGGAGAGGUGUGGGGUACUCUCAGGGUAGGGGUAAAAUCCUGUCAUCCUGAGAGGACCACCUGUUGCGAAGGCUCCACACUAGAACGGAUCCGACGGUCAGGGACGAAGCCUAGGGGCACGAACCGGAUUAGAUACCCGGGUAGUCCUAGGUGUAAACGCUGUGGACUUGAUGUUGGGGACGCUCCGAGCGUUCUCAGUGUCGAAGCGAAGGUGAUAAGUCCACUGCCUGGGGAGUACGGUCGCAAGGCUGAAACUUAAAGGAAUUGGCGGGGGAGCACCGCAACCUGAGGAUUGUGCGGUUUAAUUGGAUCAACGCCGGA